GGCAGGAUGGCCGAGUGGUUAUGGCGUGUGACUCAAGCGACUCAAAGCUUCUCUGGAAUCCAGGGUUUUCUCAUGGGCUUUGCCCGCGGGGGUUCGAAUCCCCCUCCUGUCA
rnacentral:tRNA from 1 species